UGUGAAGUGUGGGCCACACCCAUGUGGGAGUGGAGAUUCUACUCUAGUCCAGCUGCCAGCUAUUUGGAGUUGAGUACAGGGAACAGCUGAUUGGGGAGGAUUGGAGCCCUUCUCUAUAAAGGGGAGAGGAAACAGGAAGUGGGGUUGGUCGUUGUUUUUUUGUGGGACACUGGUGCAGUAGCGAAGCCUCAGAGACUCCAGGAGGAAGUGUGCACAUUUUAAAGGAAAAGAUUUUUAACCUGGCCUGGUUUUGCUUUUAAAAUAAUCUGAGGAUGUUGGAGGGAGGACUCAUUUUUAUUGGGAUGUGAGUGGAUGUGCUGGGAGGCAGGAAAACAAACACUGGACUGGAGACUCUCUGUGCCCCCGACAAGGAAACUGGACCAGUUUUGGGGAAGUUCUAGCUCCCAGGAUGUGAUGUGGAGACCCAGCCUCGAACGAAGUCUGGCCUGAAAAGGCUAAUAAUCCUGACCGCGGUGGCUUUGGGCCUUGGCUUCCUGGCCAGAGUUGUGUCUUCAGCCAGUAGUUUUACCCAGAGAAAGAACAAAUAAAUCUUGUGUAACCCA